rnacentral:rRNA from 1 species
GACGAACCGUGCGAACGUUGUUCGGAAUCACUGGGCUUAAAGGGCGCGUAGGCGGCGGGUCAAGUCCGGGGUGAAAGCCCCCAGCUCAACUGGGGAAGUGCCCCGGAUACUGAUUCGCUCGAGGGAGGUAGGGGCGGAUGGAACUUCCGGUGGAGCGGUGAAAUGCGUUGAUAUCGGAAGGAACGCCGGUGGCGAAAGCGAUCCGCUGGCCCUCUACUGACGCUGAGGCGCGAAAGCCAGGGGAGCAAACGGG